UGCUGCUGCUGCUGCUGGAGCAUCAUUACUAUGGGAACAGAAAACAGAAACAAUGCUUUGACUUUUGACUUUGAAAUCUGCGGGUGUUAAGAGGCCCUUACGUCAGUGGUGACUGAACAUGACAGCCCCAUGGAUAAGGACUCCAAGCCAAAGGACAGCCCCUACCAAGAGAACCGGCUGCGUUUCCUGCCUACGUCUGAAUAAUGAUUUCAGUGCCUUGCCAAGCUGUGUGUGCGGUACAAACUAUCAUCCCACUCUCCCUCGGGAACCAGGGAAACUGCUGCAGUGUCAUUAAACACCUUUUCUACAGAGAUGUUUGUGUUGGUGUGCACUGUCUCUUGCCAAAUUACCAGUCUGUGUUGCCGGAACACUUCAUUACCACCGUUCCCCA